UACGGAGGGGGCUAGCGUUGUUCGGAAUUACUGGGCGUAAAGCGCGCGUAGGCGGCUUUGUAAGUUAGAGGUGAAAGCCCGGAGCUCAACUCCGGAACUGCCUUUAAGACUGCAUCGCUAGAAUUGUGGAGAGGUGAGUGGAAUUCCGAGUGUAGAGGUGAAAUGCGCAGAUAUCAGGAGGAACACCAGUGGCGAAGGCGCCACUCUGGGCCGUAACUGACGCUGAGGAGCGAAAGCGUGGGUAGCAAACAGG
rnacentral:rRNA from 1 species